AUGAACGCUGGCGGCGUGCCUAAUACAUGCAAGUCGAGCGAACAGACGAGGAGCUUGCUCCUCUGACGUUAGCGGCGGACGGGUGAGUAACACGUGGAUAACCUACCUAUAAGACUGGGAUAACUUCGGGAAACCGGAGCUAAUACCGGAUAAUAUAUUGAACCGCAUGGUUCUAUAGUGAAAGACGGUUUUGCUGUCACUUAUAGAUGGAUCCGCGCCGCAUUAGCUAGUUGGUAAGGUAACGGCUUACCAAGGCAACGAUGCGUAGCCGACCUGAGAGGGUGAUCGGCCACACUGGAACUGAGACACGGUCCAGACUCCUACGGGAGGCAGCAGUAGGGAAUCUUCCGCAAUGGGCGAAAGCCUGACGGAGCAACGCCGCGUGAGUGAUGAAGGUCUUCGGAUCGUAAAACUCUGUUAUUAGGGAAGAACAAAUGUGUAAGUAACUAUGCACGUCUUGACGGUACCUAAUCAGAAAGCCACGGCUAACUACGUG
rnacentral:rRNA from 1 species